rnacentral:lncRNA from 1 species
CUUCAUUCUGAGGAACUGGUUUCCAAAGUAGAAAAAAAAUUUUUUCCUUCAAUAUUUCAUUCUAAUUCCACAUGAAGGAACAUUAGUUAUUUGGUAAGUUUUAAAUGUUAAGAUCUGAUUUAUAUGGAGCCAAAAGAAAUAUGUCCCUUAAAACAUCAGGAACAAAAUAUUCCAAAGACAUGGUAAAUAUAUAGUUUCUUAAUUGCAGAGCCAAAAUAGAUUACACACAGGCUUGCAAAAUCUAAGACAUCUGCUUUGUUUGAGGCAAGAAAAAAGACAUCUGGGGGCUUGAAUCUUUCUUUGUGACUCUCUCUGGGGUAAGUGCUCUAGUAACCUUUUCUUUAACUAGGCAUUUAGGCAGACCCCUGGAAGAUCCUCACUUGGGCUGGACCUCUGAGGUUGAUGAGGAAGGGAAAAAGUGAAAUGGUGUAUGCAAAAGAAAAAAAAUCACUGGAUACAGGAAAUCAAGUCCUUGGGAGCUUCUGUGUUUGAACACACAGUACACACGGUUGCACUGUUUGGAUACCAUAUAUAGUGUCACGGUGAGAGAAAAAUCUGUCUUCUUAACAGCCUGUGUAUUUAUUAUGUGU